UCGGCGACGAGUUUGACUCCUGGCUACGAGACGACGCUGGCGGCGUGCCUAACACAUGCAAGUCGAACGGGGUUACGAGAGCUUGCUCUUGUAACUUAGUGGCGAACGGGUGAGUAACGCGUGAGAAACCUGCCUCUCAGUGGGGGACAACAGUUGGAAACGACUGCUAAUACCGCAUAACACUUUAGUACCGCAUGGUACAGAAGUCAAAGCUUUAUGUGCUGAGAGAUGGACUCGCGUCUGAUUAGCUAGUUGGUGAGGUAAUGGCUCACCAAGGCGACGAUCAGUAGCCGAACUGAGAGGAUGAACGGCCACAUUGGGACUGAGACACGGCCCAAACUCCUACGGGAGGCAGCAGUGGGGAAUAUUGCACAAUGGGGGAAACCCUGAUGCAGCGACGCCGCGUGAGUGAAGAAGUAUUUCGGUAUGUAAAGCUCUAUCAGCAAGGAAGAAAAUGACGGUACUUGACUAAGAAGCCCCGGCUAACUACGUG
rnacentral:rRNA from 1 species